rnacentral:rRNA from 1 species
UACCAGCUCUCCGAGUUGUAGGGAUGAUUAUUGGGCUUAAAGCGUCCGUAGCUGGCUUAGCAAGUCUCCUGUUAAAUUCAGCGACCUAAUCGUUGAGCCGCGGGAGAUACUACUAGGCUAGGAGGCGGGAGAGGUCGACGGGUACUUUCGGGGUAGGGGUGAAAUCCUAUAAUCCCGGGAGGACCACCAGUGGCGAAGGCUGUCGACUAGAACGCGCUCGACGGUGAGGGACGAAAGCUGGGGGAGCGAACCGGAUUAGAUACCCGGGUAGUCCCAACUGUAAACUAUGCGGGCUAGGUGUUGGGGUGGCUACGGGCCACUUCAGUGCCGCAGGAAGCCAUUAAGCCCGCCGCCUGGGGAGUACGGCCGCAAGGCUGAAACUUAAAGGAAUUGGCGGGGGAGCACCACAAGGCGUGAAGCUUGCGGUUC